GUAGGUGGCAAGCGUUGUCCGGAAUUAUUGGGCGUAAAGCGCGCGCAGGUGGUUCUUUAAGUCUGAUGUGAAAGACCCCCGGGCUCAACCGGGGAGGGUCAUUGGAAACUGGGGAACUUGAGUGCAGGAGAGGAAAGUGGAAUUCCACGUGUAGCGGUGAAAUGCGUAGAUAUGCGGAGGAACACCAGUGGCGAAGGCGACUUUCUGGCCUGUAACUGACACUGAGGCGCGGAAGCGUGGGGAGCAAACAGGAUUAGAUACCCUGGUAGUCCACGCCGUAAACGAUGAGUGCUAAGUGUUGGGGGGGUUUCCGCCCCUCAGUGCUGCAGCUAACGCAUUAAGCACUCCGCCUGGGGAGUACGGUCGCAAAGACUG
rnacentral:rRNA from 1 species